CCGGGUAGCUCAGUGGUAGAGCGCUCGGCUGUAGACCGAGUGGCCGUGGGUUCAAAUCCCACCCCGG
rnacentral:tRNA from 1 species